rnacentral:rRNA from 1 species
AUUGAACGCUGGCGGCAUGCUCUACACAUGCAAGUCGAACGGUAACAGGCCUUCGGGUGCUGACGAGUGGCGAACGGGUGAGUAAUGCAUCGGAACGUGCCCAGAGGUGGGGGAUAACGCAGCGAAAGCUGUGCUAAUACCGCAUGUGAUCUGAGGAUGAAAGCGGGGGACCAAGCAGCAAUGUUUGGCCUCGCGCCUCUGGAGCGGCCGAUGUCAGAUUAGGUAGUUGGUGGGGUAAAGGCCUACCAAGCCGACGAUCUGUAGCUGGUCUGAGAGGACGACCAGCCACACUGGGACUGAGACACGGCCCAGACUCCUACGGGAGGCAGCAGUGGGGAAUUUUGGACAAUGGGCGCAAGCCUGAUCCAGCAAUGCCGCGUGCGGGAAGAAGGCCUUCGGGUUGUAAACCGCUUUUGUACGGAACGAAAAGGCUCUGGCUAAUACCUGGGGCUGAUGACGGUACCGUAAGAAUAAGCACCGGCUAACUACGUG